rnacentral:rRNA from 1 species
GAGUUUGAUCAUGGCUCAGAUUGAACGCUGGCGGCAUGCCUUACACAUGCAAGUCGAACGGUAACAGGUCUUCGGAUGCUGACGAGUGGCGAACGGGUGAGUAAUACAUCGGAACGUGCCCGAUCGUGGGGGAUAACGAAGCGAAAGCUUUGCUAAUACCGCAUAAGAUCUACGGAUGAAAGCAGGGGACCGCAAGGCCUUGCGCGAACGGAGCGGCCGAUGGCAGAUUAGGUAGUUGGUGGGAUAAAAGCUUACCAAGCCGACGAUCUGUAGCUGGUCUGAGAGGACGACCAGCCACACUGGGACUGAGACACGGCCCAGACUCCUACGGGAGGCAGCAGUGGGGAAUUUUGGACAAUGGGCGAAAGCCUGAUCCAGCCAUGCCGCGUGCAGGAUGAAGGCCUUCGGGUUGUAAACUGCUUUUGUACGGAACGAAAAGACUCUGGUUAAUACCUGGGGUCCAUGACGGUACCGUAAGAAUAAGCACCGGCUAACUACGUGCCAGCAGCCGCGGUAAUACGUAGGGUGCAAGCGUUAAUCGGAAUUACUGGGGCGUAAAGCGUGCGCAGGGCGGUUAUAUAAGACAGAUGUGAAAUCCCCGCUCAACCUGGGGAACUGCAUUUGUGA